rnacentral:rRNA from 1 species
CCUACGGGAGGCAGCAGUGGGGAAUAUUGGACAAUGGGCGCAAGCCUGAUCCAGCCAUGCCGCGUGUGUGAAGAAGGCCUUCGGGUUGUAAAGCACUUUUAUCCGGAAAGAAAAGCUUUGGGUUAAUACCCUGAAGUCAUGACGGUACCGGAAGAAUAAGCACCGGCUAACUUCGUGCCAGCAGCCGCGGUAAUACGAAGGGUGCAAGCGUUACUCGGAAUUACUGGGCGUAAAGCGUGCGUAGGUGGUUUGUUAAGUCUGAUGUGAAAGCCCUAGGCUCAACCUGGGAAUUGCAUUGGAUACUGGCAGGCUAGAGUGCGGUAGAGGAUAGUGGAAUUCCCGGUGUAGCAGUGAAAUGCGUAGAGAUCGGGAGGAACAUCUGUGGCGAAGGCGACUAUCUGGGCCAGCACUGACACUGAGGCACGAAAGCGUGGGGAGCAAACAGGAUUAGAUACCCUGGUAGUCCACGCCCUAAACGAUGCGAACUGGAUGUUGGGUGCAACUAGGCACUCAGUAUCGAAGCUAACGCGUUAAGUUCGCCGCCUGGGGAGUACGGUCGCAGACUGAAACUUAAAGGAAUUGACGG